AGUAAUGAUCUGCAGGUUAUAUAUAUUAUCUCUGUAUCCAGACCCCCACAGUAAUGAUCUGCAGGUUAUAUAUAUUAUCUCUGUAUCCAGACCCCCACAGUAAUGAUCUGCAGGUUAUAUAUAUUAUCUCUGUAUCCAGACCCCCACAGUAAUGAUCUGCAGGUUAUAUAUAUUAUCUCUGUAUCCAGACCCCCACAGUAAUGAUCUGCAGGUUAUAUAUAUUAUCUCUGUAUCCAGACCCCCACAGUAAUGAUCUGCAGGUUAUAUAUAUUAUCUCUGUAUCCAGACCCCCACAGUAAUGAUCUGCAGGUUAUAUAUAUUAUCUCUGUAUCCAGACCCCCACAGUAAUGAUCUGCAGGUUAUAUAUAUUAUCUCUGUAUCCAGACCCCCACAGUAAUGAUCUGCAGGUUAUAUAUAUUAUCUCUGUAUCCAGACCCCCACAGUAAUGAUCUGCAGGUUAUAUAUAUUAUCUCUGUAUCCAGACCCCCACAGUAAUGAUCUGCAGGUUAUAUAUAUUAUCUCUGUAUCCAGACCCCCACAGUAAUGAUCUGCAGGUUAUAUAUAUUAUCUCUGUAUCCAGACCCCCACAGUAAUGAUCUGCAGGUUAUAUAUAUUAUCUCUGUAUCCAGACCCCCACAGUAAUGAUCUGCAGGUUAUAUAUAUUAUCUCUGUAUCCAGACCCCCACAGUAAUGAUCUGCAGGUUAUAUAUAUUA